AGCGAACGCUGGCGGCAGGCCUAACACAUGCAAGUCGAACGAACCCUUCGGGGUUAGUGGCGGACGGGUGAGUAACACGUGGGAACGUGCCUUUAGGUUCGGAAUAACUCAGGGAAACUUGUGCUAAUACCGAAUGUGCCCUUCGGGGGAAAGAUUUAUCGCCUUUAGAGCGGCCCGCGCCUGAUUAGCUAGUUGGUGAGGUAAUGGCUCACCAAGGCUACGAUCAGUAGCUGGUCUGAGAGGAUGACCAGCCACAUUGGGACUGAGACACGGCCCAAACUCCUACGGGAGGCAGCAGUGGGGAAUCUUGCGCAAUGGGCGAAAGCCUGACGCAGCCAUGCCGCGUGGAUGAUGAAGGUCUUGGGAUUGUAAAAUCCUUUCACCGGUGAAGAUAAUGACUGUAGCCGGAGAAGAAGCCCCGGCUAACUUCGUGCCAGCCGCCGCGGUAAUAC
rnacentral:rRNA from 1 species